AGCUUUGUGCAGUGGCAGUAUUGUGGACAAUGAAGUUUAUCCGAAGCACAAUUAUUGCUAAUUGGAUAUUAACUCCUAUAUAACAUAUGGUUUGUAAGUAUUUUCUCCUAUUCAGUAG
rnacentral:snRNA from 1 species